rnacentral:pre_miRNA from 12 species
GUCAGCUAUGUGGACUCUAGCUGCCAAAGGCGCUUCUCCUUCUGAACCGAGCGCUUUGCUCAGCCAGUGUAGACAUGGCCUGAU